rnacentral:rRNA from 1 species
AGAGAGAGACAUGCGCGCAUAUCAAUAAGCGGAGGAAAAGAAACUAACAAGGAUUCCCUUAGUAACGGCGAGUGAAGCGGGAAGAGCUCAAAUUUGAAAUCUUCAAGGUUUUACCUUGACGAAUUGUAGUUUAAAGAAGUGUUUUCUGCUGAAGUUUUGGUAAAAGUUCUUUGGAAUAGGACAUCAUAGAGGGUGAGAAUCCCGUAUUUGGACCAUUAUUUUCAGCUUUGUGAUACACUUUCAAAGAGUCGGAUUGUUUGGGAAUGCAGUCCAAAAUGGGUGGUAAAUUUCAUCUAAAGCUAAAUAUUGGCGAGAGACCGAUAGCGAACAAGUACCGUGAGGGAAAGAUGAAAAGAACUUUGAAAAGAGAGUUAAACAGUACGUGAAAUUGUCAAAAGGGAAGCGUUUGACACCAGUGUUGUUUUCUCGAAAAUCAAUUAAAAAUGGCUCGAUUUUGUAUUGUUGAGACCUUAAAAGCUCACUGUACAUUUUUCGUGUCUUUUUUAAUGCACUUUUCGUUUAACAAGUCAACAUCAGUUUCUUUUGUUGUAAAAGGGUCAUUGGAAGGUGGCUUUCUUUUCGGAGAAAGUGUUUAUAGCCUUUGGCCUCUGCAAUCGGAGAGACUGAGGUCUGCAGCGUAGACUCUUCGGGGUUAGAUACAUUUGUGCUAAGUUAUAGCUUUUUAUAGACAACUUGUUGACUAUAAUUAGUCUUGUAGCUUACUCGCUUAUGCUAUUUUACCUACGCUUAGGAUGUUGAAGUCAUCGUAUCGCGC